rnacentral:tRNA from 1 species
CGGCCAGUUUCGUAACAUCUAACGCAUCUCCUUUUCAAGGAGACGGUCGCGGGUUCGAACCCCGCCUGGUUGG